rnacentral:misc_RNA from 1 species
GUGGGUCCUUCCGAGGUGAACUGGGAGGACAUACAAUGACCCGUCUACCACGGGAUGUUCAUAACCCUUUGUUGUCCGACUCUGUUGCCUCCGGGGCGACCCUGCCUUCGGGCGGGGGCUCCGGGUGGACACUUCAAACUCUUGCGUAACUUUGCAGUCUGAGUAAACUUAAUUAAUAAAUUAAAACUUUUAACAACGGAUCUCUUGGUUCUGGCAUCGAUGAAGAACGCAGCGAAAUGCGAUAAGUAAUGUGAAUUGCAGAAUUCAGUGAAUCAUCGAAUCUUUGAACGCACAUUGCGCCCCCUGGUAUUCCGGGGGGCAUGCCUGUUCGAGCGUCAUUUCACCACUCAAGCCUCGCUUGGUAUUGGGCAACGCGGUCCGCCGCGUGCCUCAAAUCGACCGGCUGGGUCUUCUGUCCCCUAAGCGUUGUGGAAACUAUUCGCUAAAGGGUGUUCGGGAGGCUACGCCGUAAAACAACCCCAUUUCUAAGGUUGACCUCGGAUCAGGUAGGGAUACCCGCUGAACUUAAGCAUAUCAAUAA